UGGGGAAUUUUGGACAAUGGGCGAAAGCCUGAUCCAGCAAUGCCGCGUGUGUGAAGAAGGCCUUCGGGUUGUAAAGCACUUUUGUCCGGAAAGAAAUCCUUGGCUCUAAUACAGUCGGGGGAUGACGGUACCGGAAGAAUAAGCACCGGCUAACUACGUGCCAGCAGCCGCGGUAAUACGUAGGGUGCAAGCGUUAAUCGGAAUUACUGGGCGUAAAGCGUGCGCAGGCGGUUUGCUAAGACCGAUGUGAAAUCCCCGGGCUCAACCUGGGAACUGCAUUGGUGACUGGCAGGCUAGAGUAUGGCAGAGGGGGGUAGAAUUCCACGUGUAGCAGUGAAAUGCGUAGAGAUGUGGAGGAAUACCGAUGGCGAAGGCAGCCCCCUGGGCCAAUACUGACGCUCAUGCACGAAAGCGUGGGGAGCAAAACAGGAUUAGAUACCCUGGUAGUCCACGCCCUAAAACGAUGUCAACUAGUUGUUGGGGAUUCAUUUCCUUAGUAACGUAGCUAACGCGUGAAGUUGACCGCCU
rnacentral:rRNA from 1 species